rnacentral:rRNA from 1 species
CAGCAGCCACGGGAAUACGAAGGGGGCUAGCGUUGCUCGGAAUGACUGGGCGUAAAGGGCGCGUAGGCGGUUCGUACAGUCAGAUGUGAAAUUCCCGGGCUCAACCUGGGGACUGCAUUUGAUACGUGCGGACUUGAGUUCGGAAGAGGGUCGUGGAAUUUCCAGUGUAGAGGUGAAAUUCGUAGAUAUUGGGAAGAACACCGGUGGCGAAGGCGGCGACCUGGUCCGAUACUGACGCUGAGGCGCGAAAGCGUGGGGAGCAAACAGGAUUAGAUACCCCAGUAGUCCCUGUCUCUUAUAC